CGAAGGAUCCAAGCGUUAUCCGGAUUUAUUGGGUUUAAAGGGUGCGUAGGCGGACUAUUAAGUCAGUGGUGAAAGCCUGCAGCUUAACUGCAGAAUUGCCAUUGAUACUGAUGGUCUUGAGUACAUUUGAGGUGGGCGGAAUGUGUCAUGUAGUGGUGAAAUACUUAGAUAUGACACAGAACUCCGAUUGCGAAGGCAGCUCACUAAACUGUAACUGACGCUGAGGCACGAAAGCGUGGGGAUCAAACAGGAUUAGAUACCCUGGUAGUCCACGCCCUAAACGAUGUUUACUCGAUGUGUGCGAUACACUGUACGCGUCUAAGCGAAAGCAUUAAGUAAUCCACCUGGGGAGUACGGCCGCAAGGCUG
rnacentral:rRNA from 1 species